GAGUGAAAUAGAACCUGAAACCGUGUACGUACAAGCAGUAGGAGCAGGCUUGUCCUGUGACUGCGUACCUUUUGUAUAAUGGGUCAGCGACUUAAUUUAUGUAGCGAGCUUAACCGAAUAGGGGAGGCGCAGGGAAACCGAGUCUUAAUAGGGCGACUAGUUGCAUGGAUUAGACCCGAAACCUGGCGAUCUAUCCAUGGUCAGGAUGAAGGUUGGGUAACACUAACUGGAGGUCCGAACUCACGUAUGUUGAAAAAUGCGGAGAUGAACUGUGGAUCGGAGUGAAAGGCUAAUCAAGCCAGGAGAUAGCUGGUUCUCCUCGAAAGCUAUUUAGGUAGCGCCUCGUAUCUCACUCUCGGGGGUAGAGCACUGUUUGGGCUAGGGGGUCAUCCCGACUUACCAACCCCAUGCAAACUCCGAAUACCGAGAAGUGCAAUUACGGGAGACAGACGGCGGGUGAUAACGUCCGUCGUCAAAAGGGAAACAACCCAGACCAUCAGCUAAGGUCCCAAAAUUAUGGCUCAGUGGAAAACGAUGUGGGAAGGCCCAGACAGCUAGGAGGUUGGCUUAGAAGCAGCCACCCUUUAAAGAAAGCGUAAUAGCUCACUAGUCGAGUCGGCCUGCGCGGAAGAUGUACCGGGGCUUAAGCCAUAUACCGAAGCUAUGGAUGCGUGUUUACACGCAUGGUAGAGGAGCGUUGUGUAAGUCUGUGAAGGUGUGUUGAGAAGCAUGCUGGAGAUAUCACAAGUGCGAAUGCUGACAUGAGUAACGAUAAAGGGGGUGAGAGGCCCCCUCGCCGAAAAUCCAAGGUUUCCUGCUCAACGUUAAUCGGAGCAGGGUGAGUCGGCCCCUAAGGUGAGGCAGAAAUGCGUAAUCGAUGGGAAACAGGUUAAUAUUCCUGUACUUGUUAUUACUGCGAUGGGAUGACGGAGAAGGUUAGGUCAGCCAACUGUUGGAUAUGUUGGUUUAACUGCGUAGGCGUGCUGAAUAGGAAAAUCCGUUUGGCUUAGCUGAGACAGGACGACGAGUGCCAUUAGGCGCGAAGUGAUUGAUACCCAGCUUCCAGGAAAAGUCUCUAAGCUUCAGGUAAUAACGAACCGUACCCCAAACCGACACAGGUGGAUGGGAUGAGAAUUCUAAGGCGCUUGAGAGAACUCGGGUGAAGGAACUAGGCAAAAUUGUACCGUAACUUCGGGAGAAGGUACGCCGCUGACGGUGAUGGGAUUUACUCCCUAAGCUAUCGGCGGUCGCAGUGAAAAGGCCCCUGCAACUGUUUAUUAAAAACACAGCACUCUGCAAACUCGUAAGAGGACGUAUAGGGUGUGACGCCUGCCCGGUGCCGGAAGGUUAAUUGAUGGGGUUAGCUUCGGCGAAGCUCUUGAUCGAAGCCCCGGUAAACGGCGGCCGUAACUAUAACGGUCCUAAGGUAGCGAAAUUCCUUGUCGGGUAAGUUCCGACCUGCACGAAUGGCGUAACGAUGGCCACGCUGUCUCCACCCGAGACUCAGUGAAAUUGAAAUUGCGGUUAAGAUGCCGUAUACCCGCGGCUAGACGGAAAGACCCCGUGAACCUUUACUAUAGCUUCACAGUGGACUCUGAUAUUACU
rnacentral:rRNA from 1 species